rnacentral:rRNA from 1 species
GACGAACGCUGGCGGCGUGCCUAAUACAUGCAAGUCGAACGCAGUGGGGACGGGUGAGUAACACGUGGGUAACCUCCCAUCAGAGGAGAUGACACUUGGAAACAGGUGCUAAACCGAUACCGAUGGAUGGACCCGCGGUGCAUUGGCUUGUAGGGGGGGUAACGGCUCGCCUAGGCGACGGUCCCUAGCUGGUCUGCGAGGAGGAUCAGCCACACUGGGACUGAGACACGGCCCAGACUCCUACGGGAGGCAGCAGUGGGGAAUAUUGCACAAUGGGCGCAAGCCUGAUGCAGCCAUGCCGCGUGUAUGAAGAAGGCCUUCGGGUUGUAAAGUACUUUCAGUCGGGAGGCGUUACCGACAGAAGAAGCACCGGCUAACUCCGUGCCAGCAGCCGCGGUAAUAC